rnacentral:rRNA from 1 species
GACGAACGCUGGCGGCGUGCUUAACACAUGCAAGUCGAACGGACCGAGUUGAUAGCUUGCUAUUGAUGAGGUUAGUGGCAAACGGGUGAGUAACGCGUAGGCAACCUGCCCUUCAGAUGGGGACAACACCUCGAAAGGGGUGCUAAUACCGAAUGACGUUUCCUGGUCGCAUGACCUGGAAACCAAAGGCCGGGCAACCGGUCACUGAAGGAUGGGCCUGCGUCUGAUUAGUUAGUUGUGGGUAACGGCCUACCAAGGCGACGAUCAGUAGCCGGUCUGAGAGGAUGAACGGCCACAUUGGGACUGAGAUACGGCCCAGACUCCUACGGGAGGCAGCAGUGGGGAAUAUUGGGCAAUGGGGGAAACCCUGACCCAGCAACGCCGCGUGAAGGAAGAAGGCUUC